CGCGGAGAAGAGUGGCAUGACCAAAAAAGUCAGCCCGAGACUAGAACCACUAGCAGCGUAACAAGGAAAUCUUGGAACAAAAGAGACGCCGAGUGGAUCGUGUUGUGCGGUUUGGAUAUCAGCUGCAAAGCGAACGUUGUGUGUACUAUUGCAAAAUAGCGGAUAUCCACGGUUAGGAUACAGACCACAACACUUUGGACGUAUCUUUAAAAAAGAGAAAAAUCAGAGACUUUUUGGAUUUGUCUGUGACAUUUUAAACAUUUUGUGACAUAUUGGAUUUAAA